CUUCUUUUGUCAAGUGCUGCUUCAUCUCAGUGAAGCUUGAUUUCCAUCUGCAAGAGGUCCUGUGGCAUACAGACCCUUUAGAGUUAUGGGCUUCAGCUCCAUCACAACAUCCAUACAUGUAUUGGUGGUGUCUUGACUGAACCACGCUGGUGUACACUGAAUUGGAGAGUCAGAGACUCCAGAAUCCAGCAGUAUUUGUAAUCUGAUGCCUGCUGUAUCAUCACAUUAAAAGCAAUGGGCAAUUUAGUAAAUAAGGCUCAGUGACACUGGGUGAGGAAAAAAAUCUUUGAUUUUUUCUUUCU
rnacentral:lncRNA from 1 species